rnacentral:rRNA from 1 species
AUUGAACGCUGGCGGCAGGCCUAACACAUGCAAGUCGUACGGUAACAGGAAGCAGCUUGCUGCUUCGCUGACGAGUGGCGGACGGGUGAGUAAUGUCUGGGAAACUGCCUGAUGGAGGGGGAUAACUACUGGAAACGGUGGCUAAUACCGCAUAACGUCGCAAGACCAAAGAGGGGGACCUUCGGGCCUCUUGCCAUCAGAUGUGCCCAGAUGGGAUUAGCUUGUUGGUGAGGUAACGGCUCACCAAGGCGACGAUCCCUAGCUGGUCUGAGAGGAUGACCAGCCACACUGGAACUGAGACACGGUCCAGACUCCUACGGGAGGCAGCAGUGGGGAAUAUUGCACAAUGGGCGCAAGCCUGAUGCAGCCAUGCCGCGUGUAUGAAGAAGGCCUUCGGGUUGUAAAGUACUUUCAGCGGGGAGGAAGGUGUUGUGGUUAAUAACCGCAGCAAUUGACGUUACCCGCAGAAGAAGCACCGGCUAACUCCGUGCCAGCAGCCGCGGUAAUACGGAGGGUGCAAGCGUUAAUCGGAAUUACUGGGCGUAAAGCGCACGCAGGCGGUCUGUCAAGUCGGAUGUGAAAUCCCCAGGCUCAACCUGGGAACUGCAUUCGAAACUGGCAGGCUUGAGUCUUGUAGAGGGGGGUAGAAUCCCAGGUGUAGCGGUGAAAUGCGUAGAGAUCUGGAGGAAUACCGGUGGCGAAGGCGGCCCCCUGGACAAAGACUGACGCUCAGGUGCGAAAGCGUGGGGAGCAAACAGGAUUAGAUACCCUGGUAGUCCACGCCGUAAACGAUGUCUACUUGGAGGUUGUGCCCUUGAGGCGUGGCUUCCGGAGCUAACGCGUUAAGUAGACCGCCUGGGGAGUACGGCCGCAAGGUUAAAACUCAAAUGAAUUGACGGGGGCCCGCACAAGCGGUGGAGCAUGUGGUUUAAUUCGAUGCAACGCGAAGAACCUUACCUGGUCUUGACAUCCACAGAACUUUCCAGAGAUGGAUUGGUGCCUUCGGGAACUGUGAGACAGGUGCUGCAUGGCUGUCGUCAGCUCGUGUUGUGAAAUGUUGGGUUAAGUCCCGCAACGAGCGCAACCCUUAUCCUUUGUUGCCAGCGGUCCGGCCGGGAACUCAAAGGAGACUGCCAGUGAUAAACUGGAGGAAGGUGGGGAUGACGUCAAGUCAUCAUGGCCCUUACGACCAGGGCUACACACGUGCUACAAUAGCGCAUACAAAGAGAAGCGACCUCGCGAGAGCAAGCGGACCUCAUAAAGUGCGUCGUAGUCCGGAUUGGAGUCUGCAACUCGACUCCAUGAAGUCGGAGUCGCUAGUAAUCGUGGAUCAGAAUGCCACGGUGAAUACGUUCCCGGGCCUUGUACACACCGCCCGUCACACCAUGGGAGUGGGUUGCAAAAGAAGUAGGUAGCUUAACCUUCGGGAGGGCGCUUACCACUUUGUGAUUCAUGACUGGGGUGAAGUCGUAACAAGGUAACC